rnacentral:rRNA from 1 species
GCAGCACGGGGCAACCUGGUGGCGAGUGGCGAACGGGUGAGUAAAGUAUCGGAACGUACCAUUCAGUGGGGAUAACGUAGCGAAAGUUACGCUAAUACCGCAUAUUCUGUUAGCAGGAAAGCAGGGGAUCGCAAGACCUUGCGCUGAUUGAGCGGCCGAUAUCAGAUUAGCUAGUUGGUGAGGUAAAGGCUCACCAAGGCGACGAUCUGUAGCGGGUCUGAGAGGAUGAUCCGCCACACUGGAACUGAGACACGGUCCAGACUCCUACGGGAGGCAGCAGUGGGGAAUUUUGGACAAUGGGCGCAAGCCUGAUCCAGCCAUGCCGCGUGAGUGAAGAAGGCCUUCGGGUUGUAAAGCUCUUUCGGCCGGGAAAAAAUCGCUUGGGUUAAUACCCUGAGUGGAUGAUGGUACCGGAAUAAGAAGCACCGGCUAACUACGUGCCAGCAGCCGCGGUAAUACGUAGGGUGCGAGCGUUAAUCGGAAUUACUGGGCGUAAAGCGUGCGCAGGCGGUUUGUUAAGACAGGCGUGAAAUCCCCGGGCUCAACCUGGGAACUGCGCUUGUGACUGGCAAGCUAGAGUACGGCAGGGGGGUGGAAUUCCACGUGUAGCAGUGAAAUGCGUAGAGAUGUGGAGGAACACCAAUGGCGAAGGCAGCCCCCUGGGUCGAUACUGACGCUCAUGCACGAAAGCGUGGGUAGCAAACAGGAUUAGAUACCCUGGUAGUCCACGCCCUAAACGAUGUCAACUAGGUGUUGGGAGGGUAAAACCUUUUAGUACCGUAGCUAACGCGAGAAGUUGACCGCCUGGGGAGUACGGCCGCAAGGUUAAAACUCAAAGGAAUUGACGGGGACCCGCACAAGCGGUGGAUGAUGUGGAUUAAUUCGAUGCAACGCGAAAAACCUUACCUACCCUUGACAUGUUCAGAAUCCCGAAGAGAUUUGGGAGUGCCCGAAAGGGAGCUGGAACACAGGUGCUGCAUGGCUGUCGUCAGCUCGUGUCGUGAGAUGUUGGGUUAAGUCCCGCAACGAGCGCAACCCUUGUCGUUAAUUGCCAUCAUUUAGUUGGGCACUUUAACGAGACUGCCGGUGACAAACCGGAGGAAGGUGGGGAUGACGUCAAGUCCUCAUGGCCCUUAUGGGUAGGGCUUCACACGUCAUACAAUGGUCGGUACAAAGGGUUGCCAACCCGCGAGGGGGAGCCAAUCCCAGAAAGCCGAUCGUAGUCCGGAUCGCAGGCUGCAACUCGCCUGCGUGAAGUCGGAAUCGCUAGUAAUCGUGGAUCAGCAUGUCACGGUGAAUACGUUCCCGGGUCUUGUACACACCGCCCGUCACACCAUGGGAGCGGGUUCCGCCAGAAGUAGGUAGCCUAACCGCAAGGAGGGCGCUUACCACGGAGGGGUUCGUGACUGGGGUGAAGUCGAACAAGGUA